rnacentral:rRNA from 1 species
CUGCAACUCGACUGCAUGAAGCCGGAAUCGCUAGUAAUCGCGGAUCAGAAUGCCGCGGUGAAUACGUUCCCGGGUCUUGUACACACCGCCCGUCACACCAUGGGAGUCGGAAAUGCCCGAAGCCGGUGGCCUAACCGAUAAGGGAGGAGCCGUCGAAGGCAGGUCUGAUGACUGGGGUGAAGUCGUAACAAGGUAGC